GUUCAUUUGAUAUUUGGACCGAUUAAAAUGUUGCUGUAUUUAUGAAGACAUUGUAAAGACAUGAAACUAUAAUAGUUGAAACUACAAGAGGCGUUUGUGUGGACAGAUUUCACUCAUUUAACUUAACCACAGACACCUUUUGUCUUCUCCAGAUGUUAAUUAAUGGACAGGAGUGGUGUGGACUAUUGUGAUGUUUUUAUCAGCUGUUUGGACUCUCAUUCUGACGGCACCCAUUCACUGCAGAGCAUCCAUUGCUGAGACACUGAUGCAAUGCUACAUAUCUAAUGAAGAAACAAACUUUGGUCUACAUGAGCACAUAUGGCCUGUUCACGCUGGACUGGAGUGAGGACAGAAGCAAUAACGAGCACGGUUUAUCUCUGGAGUGAAGGAUGGACGCGCUCUGAAAAUGUGAUCUGGGAUUUCAUAUCAGAGGCAGCCGUUAUUCCGGUUGGCUCGGGCUGCGAUCGGGACAGUUGGCGUCCGCUCCGCUGAUGACAGAUUUGGCAGAGACUGAACAGGAAGCCAGCAGAGCCAUGUGUGAUUAAACAGGAAACAGAUCCAGGCGUGAGUGCAUGAGUGGAUCAGCGCUCGAGUGAUCCGACAGUCUCCGGUGCCAAAACCCCUCCGAACACCAGGAUCAAUAGUGUGAAUCAGAGCUUCAGGAACAGCUUUACAGAGCAGAGCCGUGGCCCUUAUGCAGAUCUAUGAUGACGGUUAACGCGGUAAAUCUGAGUAAACAUCUGUAAAUCCUUUGUUAUCAGAAUUCACGUGUGCAUUUAUUGUAUGCUUUGUCAGACUUUUUCAUUUUAUUUUUUAUUUUUUAUCCAAAACAACUUAUUCAGUUCAUAUAUGGUAAUCGAACCCAUGACCUUGAUGUUGAAUGUUUUUGGAUUUAUAGCUACUUUAAGUACGUUGUCACCUUUUGGGUUGAAUGAAGAAUUUGAUAGUAAGCCUUUCUUAUAAGAUUUUAUGUACUUCUUCAUCUGUUUUCAGUAUUGUUUGAAUAGUUUGAAGAGUGAUUACUGAUUUGUAUUUUCCUUGUAUUGAUUUGUAUCUCUGUUGUUUUCUCUCUCUCUCUCUCUCUUCUCUUCCUUGUCUUGUGGGAGUAAGUCUACACUUACACAGUGAUUGAACGUGCCUAAUUAGUAUGACCACC